ACUUAUGUUCCUGAUGAGGGAGGUUGGCCCAGUUGGGCGGGGCUUAGUGUAACGGCUCCGUCCCCCACUAGGUGGCGCUGCUUAGCUUCCUGGGAUGGAUUGUUGUGGUGCUCGUAGGUGUGUAGGCGCAUGCGCAGGAACUGUAAAAAUGGCGUCCUCCACUUACUCAGUCUCUAGUGCUCCCCGACCAGCAAUCGCGGACCCGUCCUUUGUCUUCAGUUUCCGUCCAUUCCCCGCUUUUAUGCUGUCCGUGACCAAGCCCCAGGCAGCACCUCCCUCCUGAGUUUUAUCUCAGAUGUGGCUUUGUUUCCCAACCCCUUAUUUCUGAGGGAGUGCCGCUUUGACCCGCUCCGCCCCUCUGCGGGACGGUUUCACCAAGCCUUGGCCUUGCCGGCCACACCCAGGAACGUUGGUUCAGGGAAACCGUGCUGCUGCAGGUGCCCAGAGACUGCGGCCGGGUGCCAGCCAGCCCCAGGAAAAGUUCGCGAGAUAGCGUAGCAGCAGCGUUUCAGGGAUUAUGGAAAAUCACAACACACGUCCGGCGCCAGGCUUCAUCCCCAGCGACCUUGUUCCAGCACCAGCGAAUGUGGUUGUUCUCCGGGGUCCACUGGCACCUUUGCCUGUGGGGAGUCCUCCCAGCAGGGCAACCGCCUCUCCCCGUGUGGUCCGAAGACCCCGGACUUGACUCUGCUCCUGGGGAUUCGCCUUUCUCACCAGAGCUCCACCAGGCACACACAAAAUUGCUAGAUGAAGUUUCUCCAAGCACUACUUUGAUCAAGUUAUUUCUCUGCUGAAGAACUUUCAGUGGUACUUGUCUAUGGAGUUACGUGGGAGCUCCAAGCAGCCGGGUGUCCUGCCUCAAUUGAUCUGUGUAAGAGCCUGACCGAUGGCUGAUACCUAGGAAGCACUCUUGAUGUUUCCUUUUUGUUGUUGUUGUUCAUUUAGUUCUUGAAAGUGAAAUCAGGAAACUUAAUUGAAGGAAGUUCCAAUUUGUGUCUUUCACCAAGAUGAAUAUUAGAGAAUUAUCAAGAGUGGAAGCCACAUGUUAAAUAAAGUAAAGACUCUAUGCAUUGAACAAAGUAUCUUCUCAGGGGUCCCAUAUCCUAAAUGAAAUAGGCACAUUAAGAUAUGACAGGUAAUACACUUUGGGAAAGAUAAGUGAUAUUUAAUGACAAUUUGUAGAGAUCUUCAAGAGAAGCAAAGUGACUUUACAGCUGAAAGCUAACUCGUUGUUUCUCCAUUGGAUUUCUAAGAUGAGUAUUCAGCCAUGAGCAUAAUUAAACAAGUACACAAGACAUGAGAAAUGGAUUACCCUUCAGAUGCUGGGUCAGGCAAACCAGGUGGUCAAGAACACAGUGUUCUCUGCUUGAAAACCACUGUUCGGUUGCCAGACUUCACUGCCCUUUGGGCUCUUUCGUUCUAUUUCUGGCCUUCGUCUCUUGCUCUGUCACACCAAUGCCCUUCUUGGUUUAGAUUUUAUGUCCUCAUCAUCUAACACAUCAAAGGAUCAAAGAGUUCAAAUCUCCUUAGGCUGCCAGUAUUUUAUUUAGUUAAAAAAAAUAAACAAAAAUGAAAAAUUAUGCCCAUUUUCCUCUUUGCAAGAAACCAAAAUUCAAAAUUAAGGUGAAAGCACAGAGGAGGAAUCUGUACAGUUCAAAACAAAAAACCAACCUCUUCAUAUACAUAUACCCUCUUACAAACCACACCGCUGAAUUUUAUGAAACAAUUUAAAUAUUGCUAAUUAAAAUCCUCAAGAUGCUAAUGCAUUCUCAAAUCAACCUCUGCCACUUUGUUGUACGGAUGCAACAUUGGCAGAUUCUCUUUCGAUAUCCAAAAUACCAUUUUUGGAACAAACUUGAAUUUUUGAUUCAUUCAACAAACAAUUAUAUUAAGCACCUACUAUGUGUCAGACACUAUGCUGGGUGCCGAGCAAGCAAAAUGGAAUGACUUUCUGAUUUCAGCAGAAUUCUGGUCUCUAAAGCAGUGCUUCUCAAACUAUUUUUUAUUAAGCCGUGCCCUCUUUUGAUAAACAUGAAUAUCCUUUCCCCACUUCCCAGAAAUUGUGACAAACCCUUCUAACAGUGAGAAUCACUGAUACACAGAACAUAGACUCUAUUUUCUGUGUAUUCUUCACAGACCAAAUAUCUUUGAGCUUUUACUUUUUAUUUUAAAAACAGCAUACUUAUUUUCCAUAUACAAAACUGGAUUGGAAUAGUAAAGGUACUUUUUUCUGAACCACAUAAACUACCCCACUCUCAAUCCCAGAGCUAAAAUUUAAAUUCCCUGUACCCAGCCCUAUUGAGAAUCACUGCUUUAAAGAGUUUUGGAGAAAACCAGGCAACCUCCAUCUCUCCCCUCCAAUCAAAUCUUAAAGGAAUUAGAAUUUUCCUACCUGACACAACAGCUGGUGGAGUAUCAUAAUCCUGUCUUGGGACUGAAUCUUUGAAUGAAAAGAGCAUGAGAGAGAAUGCAAUGAAGUACAAAAGAAAAUAAAAUAGAAUCUUAGCUCUAAAACGUGGAAGUGCCCACUGUAUGUCAUAUGAUUGCCUAAGCCCCCUGCCUUGAAACACUCAACUAGGGACUAUGAUCCCUAGUUUAUAGUUGAUACAAUGGUCCCCAGUACUGUCACAUGGUACCUGUUGUUAGGCCCCGUUGUGACCUGCCAGAGCAGUACAUGCUAUCCUAGAACGCUGUCAGCUUCCUCAGUCUGUCAUCAUUUGGGCCCCUCCCUUGGGAAAUCAAUGUGGCAUUUUUACCCUCUCUGGUUGACACAAAUGUUCUACAAAGGAGCCCAUCUGAAAGGGGCCCAGAGCACAAUGUGAAACGAAGUUCAGGAGAACAAAAGAACUGAAAUUUUAAAAGAGAUAAAUGAAAAAUUUGUAGACUCCCACACUCUAUGGAGACUGAUGCACUUUGAGACUAGGGUUUUGUUAGUAAUCACUCAGCUCUGGCUCUGAUACCAGUGGCUGUUGGACAAGGCCAAGGAGCUUCGUGUGCUGGAAUCGUGAGAGCAGAGAUAAAUAGAAAAGAAUCCAUUCAACAGAUGAUUGCCAUCUUUUUUCCAAAGUGUUAUAGCAUUGGAAGUGGCAAAUAGUAGGGAAAGGUUAACUUAAACUACAUCGCAUCCAUGUCAGACUUGCAGGUUAUAUGAAGCCAAAUACAUCUGUGUUUUGAAGAUGAAACUUUGGCUUAACACAAUUCUUUAAACCAAGGAUCUUAAAAAAGGUAAGUGGGACAUGGCUUAUGGCCCAAGGCCCCCUUCUAAAAAUGGCCCCAACUCCCCUUAGAGAGGUAAACUGUGUAAAAGGGAUCAGGUAGUGCUCAUAUUCAAAUAAACUUCUAAAACAUGAUUAAAUAAAAUAUAUGCUCUUGUGUGACCCUUAUUCUAUUCACAUAACCAGUACUCAUUGCAUUUUUAAAAACUAAAACCUCAAACUUUAUUUUCCUAUCUUUCUCCAUUUUAUCUCCUUGCCACAAAAGGAUGAUGAUAAUCCCCCUUUCAAAAGCAAAUGGCAUGUGAGAAGAUACAAUAAAACUUGGACAUUGCAAGGCACUUUGGACCAGCAAAAUCCAACAUGGAUCAAAGAUUCAAAUGCAAAUAAACCUUGGGCAUGAGUUACUUUGUGUCUCAAAACAGGGAUCUCAGAAAAGUGGAACAUGACCUAUGGCCCAAGGCUCCCACAACUGCUCACACCUCGUUUUGCAGAGUUUCAGUGAGCUCAGAACAUCUGAAAGACUCUGAAAAGUUACAGGUAGGACAGAAACAUUGGUCAGAUAAUCUUAGAUUGCUUGUGGCAACAUGGUAGAAAAUGGAUUGGAGCAAACUAGGGAGGUAGAGACUCCACAAAUGUGGGGGAGCGGAUGUAUUUGACGAACGUCUAUGGGACAGAAUUGGUGGAUCUUUAAAAGUUGUAAAUGGUGGUGAGGGAAAAGGAAAGAACCUAGACUGAGUCCCGAGUGCAGCGUUUGACUGCCUGGGUCAUGGGAUUAGCUUGAGAAGGAAUAAGGAGCAGAAACCCAUAAAAGGAAGAGGGUCAGUGGAAAGGAAGUUCAGGGAAACUCAUGAAAUUAGUUUGGGUUGUACCGACUUUGAGAUGUCAGAAGGAGAUUUACAUGGAGAUAUUUAGCAAGUUGUUGGUUAAAUGAUUUUAAAAGUCUAAGAUGAGGUUAGCAUUGAGGAUUCAGAUUUAGGGAUUUUCAGCAUAGAAGGCAGAGUUCAAAACCAAGAAAGUGGAUGAGCUUGCUUAAGGAAAUCAUGUUUGAAUGAGAAGUUAAAAAUGAAACCCUGGCUCAGCAUCUUGUGAAAGAAAAGAAGAAGCAAUGGCCAGAGACAUCAGAGAGAAUGAGGAAAACAGUGGGCAGAAGUCACAAACUAAGAGGACUUAGGACGAACUGGUCUGAUAUUCAAAUAUAGGGAGAUUUUCUGUUAAAAUGCAAAUACUUAGCUUAAUCUUAAAAAACUGGAAGGUGAGGCCACCUUUGGUCCUUAUGUCCAUGUAGCAAUAACUGUCUAGAGUUGAGCAGGGGCUGCCCUUUUAGACAAGGCAUCUGUGUCUCAGGCUGCCAAGGUACCCCCUCUCCCUACGACUGACUCCUCUAAUACUCAGGCAGAGAUGAUGUUAUCAUUGCAUGAAAAUAUCUCUAAUUUAAAAUAUACUCUCCAAUAUAAUGUGAAUUUAUAUUGCAUGACUAUGGCUGUGACAAGAAUAAGUAUAGACCAAAUUUGAUUGUAUAUUUCUAGGGUUUCUUGCUUGAACUUAGUCAACUUUAUUCAUUCAUGUGACCUAGUUGGUUUCUCUGGACUUCUGGGUUUACAACCCUGAAAGAAUUAGAAGCUAAGGAAUAGAAACUCGAAAGAACUAAGUGGUGCCAAAUGAAAUAGAGCAGGCCAGAGAGUUGUUCUAUGGCCUUGGUGGUGUUCUACCCCCUUCUGGUGACUUGGACUAAAUUCCCACGUUAUGAAGCCACCAGAGAUAGUGGGGUAAAGGCAGCUCAUUUGAUAAGCAUCUAGUGGGUAUCACACUGUAUUAGGUAUAUUACAUAUAUCAUCCCACUUAAUGCUCACAACACCACUGCGAUGUAAAUACUAUUUUCCCCCUUGAAAAAGAGGAAAUAAAAGUUCAGAGGUUAAGAAACCUAACAUGCAUAGCUAAUAAGGGGCAGAGCCAGGCUUUGAACUCAAGUUUACCUCCAAUGCCCACUGUUCUUUCCGUGACACCAGCCUACCUUCCGAGCAGUAGAUAAAACAAUUGAAAAGAUGCAGUAAGGUGGAGAAAUUUGACUAAAAGAACCAAUUAAAAAAAAAAAGAAUCAAUUUCAAUUGCAUAAUAUCCACUACAAAUGCCAAUCAAAAAUUCAGAUGAAAGGAAUCUACGACAGCAUAUCCAAGUAUAAGACUGAUAGUUUGAGAAAAGAGUAUAACAGUAUUCUGGACACUAAACAUCAACAGAAUAGUAAUGUUUUCUUUCUGCUUUUCCAGAGCCUUAUGGAAUUUUAACCCUUGACAAAAUAUGUUUACACAAAGUUUAUGAUGUACCUAAGCAUGAUUUAGUAUAAACGUGAAGGGGGAAAAGAACAAAAUAAAAAACAAAACUAGAAGAAAUGUAGUGUUCAAAAUAAGCCACUGCUUAAAACUUCUGCUCUCGAAGAAAGGGAGGGAGUAUAUAUUAUUAUUAAGUAAUUUGGCUAUUACUAGCUGGGCAAAAAUUAUGAUCUCAUAUGAAUGUGUUCUUGUUGAAAAUGCUCAAAUGCGAAUCAUACUUAAUAUAUGUUAUUGAAUCAGCAACUAUUGUAAUUCUGAAUCUAUUCUACAUAUUUUAGCUUAUUUUUCAAUUCUCUAAAGGAUUCAGUCAUAUUCUCAAUUAACAUAGCUCUUAUAUUUUUUUUCUAGUUGGCAAAUUUGAACUUCAGCAACUCAGCUGGUUUUGCUUUUAAUUCAAAUGAGUAGGGUUUAUACAGUGUUUGUGUACUUUGUGUUAUAAUUCACUCUUUUACCAGACCCUAGACUGUUGUUCAAUAUAGUAAGAGUGCAUUACUUCACUUGUUCAGAAUUUAUGCUUUCAAGGAGAGGAAGGCUGAUAUGAAGGGAAGUCAACAGGGCGGACAUGAUAAACUUCAGUUUCUCCCAAUAAACUUGGAAAUUGCUUUGUUAGUAAAUAAGCCAAGUGAGUACAAAUAACACUUACACCUUACUAAAAAAUAUCUCCCUGAUGAAAAUUAGCUGUACGACAAUGUAGAGUUAAAUGUAGUCUCAGACAUGACAUUUGAAAGCCUAGGUCAGAGACCUGAGAAAUUAUUUGAUCCAACGACUGCCUUCAGACAGGUAAGGUAUCAUCAACUGCUUUUUAGAAGUUCAGCAGCUGAAGUCUUCAAGAUAGGUACUUUGUUUACGCUAAUAAAACUGAAUGUCUUUAUUGAAACAAUGUGACUCUUUCCUUUAGGUAUAUGGACUUUCUUCCUAUUUAGAGCAAAUUUUUGUGGGCUCAGUGGACAUGUCAGAAACUUCUUACAUUCCAAAAAGCCUAUGAGUCAACACAUCUUUGUGACAAGGAAGCCAUUGCUUUAAGGUACCAUUUCCCAAAUAUGGCCAGUGUACAUAGAUAUUUGGAGAUGAGGCCAGCAAAACUGAGAAGAGUCACAGAAGUGGUGACUAGAAGACAUGGGCUUAAAGCCACUGAGGCACAUAGUCAAAGAGCCCCCGUAUAUCACUAUGCUCAGUACUUUAGCCAGAUGGAGAGGGAAUUGAGACUGGAAGAGAUUAUUUCCCCAAAGACACAGUGAAAGGACAGUGCUCAAUCAAGGUUUGAAUUCAGUACUCCCAAAUCCUGGUCCAGUGCUCUUUCUAUAAUAAUUACGCUGCCUCAAUGACAAAAAAAAAAAAAAAAAAAAGAUUAAAAAAAUUUCUACA